AUUGAACGCUGGCGGCAUGCUUUACACAUGCAAGUCGAACGGUAACAGGCCGCAAGGUGCUGACGAGUGGCGAACGGGUGAGUAAUGCAUCGGAACGUGCCCAGUCGUGGGGGAUAACGCAGCGAAAGCUGCGCUAAUACCGCAUACGAUAUACGGAUGAAAGCGGGGGACCGGAAGGCCUCGCGCGAUUGGAGCGGCCGAUGUCAGGUUAGGUAGUUGGUGGGGUAAAGGCUCACCAAGCCAACGAUCUGUAGCCGGUCUGAGAGGACGACCAGCCACACUGGGACUGAGACACGGCCCAGACUCCUACGGGAGGCAGCAGUGGUGAAUUUUGGACAAUGGGCGCAAGCCUGAUCCAGCAAUGCCGCGUGCAGGAAGAAGGCCUUCGGGUUGUAAACUGCUUUUGUACGGAACGAAAAGGCUCUGGUUAAUACCUGGGGCUCAUGACGGUACCGUAAGAAUAAGCACCGGCUAACUACGUGCCAGCCGCCGCAGUAACAC
rnacentral:rRNA from 1 species